CCUGGCUCAGGAUGAACGCUGGCGGCGUGCCUAAUACAUGCAAGUCGAGCGAAUGGAUUAAGAGCUUGCUCUUAUGAAGUUAGCGGCGGACGGGUGAGUAACACGUGGGUAACCUGCCCAUAAGACUGGGUUAACUCCGGGAAACCGGGGCUAAUACCGGAUAACAUUUUGAACCGCAUGGUCCGAAAUUGAAAGGCGGCUUCGGCUGUCACUUAUGGAUGGAUCCGCGUCGCAUUAGCUAGUUGGUGAGGUAACGGCUCACCAAGGCAACGAUGCGUAGCCGACCUGAGAGGGUGAUCGGCCACACUGGGACUGAGACACGGCCCACACUCCUACGGGAGGCAGCAGUAGGGAAUCUUCCGCAAUGGACGAAAGUCUGACGGAGCAACGCCGCGUGAGUGAUGAAGGCUUUCGGGUCGUAAAACUCUGUAGUUAGGGAAGAACAAGUGCUAGUUGAAUAAGCUGGCACCUUGACGGUACCUAACCAGAAAGCCACGGCUAACUACGUGCCAGCAGCCGCGGUAAUACGUAGGUGGCAAGCGUUAUCCGGGAUUAUAGGGCGUAAAGCGCGCGCAGGUGGUUUCUUAAGUCUGAUGUGAAAGCCCACGGCUCAACCGUGGAGGGUCAUUGGAAUCUGGGAGACUUGAGUGCAGAACAGGAAUGUGGAAUUCCAUGUGUAGCGGUGAAUUGCGUAGAGAUAUGGAGGACCACCAGUGGCGAAGGCAACUUUCUGGUCUGUAACUGACACUGAGGCGCGAAAGCGUGGGGAGCAAACAGGAUUAGAUACCCUGGUAGUCCACGCCGUAAACGAUGAGUGCUAAGUGUUAGAGGGUUUCCGCCCUUUAGUGCUGAAGUUAACGCAUUAAGCACUCCGCCUGGGGAGUACGGCCGCAAGGCUGAAACUCAAAGGAAUUGACGGGGGCCCGCACAAGCGGUGGAGCACAAGCGGUGGAUUGACAUCCUCUGAAAACCCUAGAGAUAGGGCUUCUUGACAUCCUCUGAAAACCCUAGAGAUAGGGCUUCUCCUUCGGGAGCAGAGUGACAGGUGGUGCAUGGUUGUCGUCAGCUCGUGUCGUGAGAUGUUGGGUUAAGUCCCGCAACGAGCGCAACCCUUGAUCUUAGUUGCCAUCAUUAAGUUGGGCACUCUAAGGUGACUGCCGGUGACAAACCGGAGGAAGGUGGGGAUGACGUCAAAUCAUCAUGCCCCUUAUGACCUGGGCUACACACGUGCUACAAUGGACGGUACAAAGAGCUGCAAGACCGCGAGGUGGAGCUAAUCUCAUAAAACCGUUCUCAGUUCGGAUUGUAGGCUGCAACUCGCCUACAUGAAGCUGGAAUCGCUAGUAAUCGCGGAUCAGCAUGCCGCGGUGAAUACGUUCCCGGGCCUUGUACACACCGCCCGUCACACCACGAGAGUUUGUAACACCCGAAGUCGGUGGGGUAACCUUUUUGGAGCCAGCCGCCUAAGGUGGGACAGAUGAUUGGGGUGAAGUCG
rnacentral:rRNA from 1 species